ensembl:lncRNA
CCCCCUUACACUCCACCCCAGUGGCCAGCAGCCGCCUCAUCAUCUCUUCAGCUGUCUCUCCAGCCUUUCACUCCCUUUUUCUGGGAAGAAUCCCCCCGGAGCCUUGGCCCCCUCCUUGAUGACCCCUUACACCUUCCCUCACUCCCUCUUCCAGGAAGUUUUCAGGACUGAACCCCCUUCUCUAUUCUUCACUCCAGUCCGCAGUGGCCCAUCUCCUGUCCUGAUGUUGGGACACUGUGCUGGGGACCAACCUUGGCUUCUCCACAUUUCUCCCCAAAGGGCUCCCACCAGCCUGCCCAGUGUGUACCUGUGGGGCGUGGGCGGUUCUGGAGGGGGAGAGGCAGAGACUCUUCCUCAGGUGGCUUCCAGGCCUUUCAUACGUUCCUUCCUUUCUUCAGAACUAGCCAAGAGCCAGUUAAGUGUCUGGUUGGGUGCUGGGCUCAGUGGGCAGCUAGAUGCGGGUGUCCUUGUCGCAGCCAUACCCUGCACCCAGCAUCCCUGAGGCUGUCAGCUAACUUCUCAGAAUCCCCAUCAAAUGCAGCCUCCCUCAUGGAGCAGAUAAAGCUCUUAAUAAUGGAAUUUCUGCUUCCACUUCCCAUCUCCCCCAGCCCAGACUCCCUCUGAUGGAUGUUCCAGUCCCCUAAGGCACCAUGCUCUUCCCUACGUCCUUGCUUUCACGUACACUGUCCACUCUCCACCACCCACUUCCUCAAACUCCUUAGACUGACAACUCCUUGCUUACCUUUUAUCACUUUUAUUCCCUUUAUCUUUCAUCACCAACAUUUUGGCCCCCUCCAGGAACCCUUCCUUAACUCCCCCAAGGUGGCCCACAGUUCCCUCCCCACCUGCUCCCACAGCACUUUGCACACGUCUUCAGGACAGCAGUCUCCACAUGCCAUGUAAUUGUGUGUCUGCCUCCCCUGCUGGACGGUUAGCUCCUCAAAGAAGCUUUGUAUUCCACCUUCCUCUUCAGCAUAGCACCUGGCACAUAGUAGGCACUCAAUAAAUGUCUAGUGAAUGAAUGAGCUGACAUGGAGGUAGGGAUAAGGGAAAGGAAGGUAUGAACAUGAGAGGUGCUACAAAGGAGGAAGUGGUGGGUUCCGAUGUGACUGAUUUGGAUCGGGGGAAGGAAGAGGGCAAAUCGGAUAAUGCUCAGGAUUUGCACCUGAGGGCCUGGGAGUUUAAUGAAGCCGCCCAUAGAGGCAGGGAAGCAGGAACACGGGGCAAGACUUCAAGCCCAAUGCGGAGUGAGGGAGCAUGUGAAUGCCCUUCCUAUGUCUGGGGAAUGACCCCCUCAUGAGUUUCGGAGGGAGGCUGCACUUACAUGCCACUACAGAAGCCAAAAGCACAGGUACCUUCCUGGCCCUCCUUGCAGCUGGGGCCUGGGCGUUGGGUCUAGGCUUAGCCAAUCAGAUGCACCAGUCCAGUCUCUGACCUGGGAGCUAAUGGCAGGACCACAGGUAGCAGUUAGGGUACAAUCUGGAGUUUAUAAGAAGCCAAGACUAGAGAAAUGAACGAGCGUUUAUAACUUUGGCUGAUGGCUGAGGUGAUAAAAGUGAAUGAAAGUGAGUAGGAAGGAAAAAAACAAAGGUGACAGUAGAACCUUGGGGAACAUACUUUUGGCUGGAGGACUGGUCAACCCAGCGGACUGAGAGAAGAGAACCCAGAAUGAAUAAUCAGGGAUAUCACAGAAGAACCAAAGGCCAAAGGUGAAGACACGAUGGACAUCAGCAUGAAAUGUUCCACAAAAGUCACCAGACCUGAGCAAGGGCCGUUGGGUCCGAGCGAGGAGGUUGAGCGGCCUGAGAGGGCACAGUGUCACCAGAGUUACGAAGAUGGAAGCCGGACUGCAGGGCUGAGGAGAGAUGACUUGGAGCUUCGCCUCAAGUACAUGGUGGCCCUUCACAGGCCCCAGAGAGACCCCCACCCUAAACUGGCAGAUGAUCCUGCCUGCCCACACCUUACCCUCUCCCUCCUCCUGCUGACACCCCCAGUUCUGAUUCCUCCGGUAUUUUUUGCGUCACCCCCAGUCCUUCAAGUCCUCUGACCAUUGGCGCUCAGGAGGGGUCUGGAACCAAGGCCAGCGUGGAGGCCUCUCUACCGCGGCUGCUCCUGUGUGAGGCUCACAUCUCUUCGGGGGCUGCCCCUUCCUCAUCUCUCCCUCCUUCCUUCUCUCUCCAUCCUCUCUUCCCAGUUUCACUAGUAGGAAGACUCAACAAUGUUCCUGGUCAGCCAUAAAGCCCUGACAUCUCACCUCCCUCCACGUCCACCAACCAGGCCAGCUCUCAGCUCUGGAGAGGCGGCCAUUUUAUAGGCGCCAGCUACCUAAGAUGGCGGCCUCCCUGUCUCCCUCUGCUUUCGUUCCCACAGCCUUGCCUCUUACCCUUGCCUCUUUCUUUCUGAAGCCUGAGCCCAGCAAGGUGGGGGGCCGGGCUGGGGAGCCAAGGCCAGAGGAAGCAAAACAAAAAAGGACAGAAAAGCCGGCCCCUUGGCAUCUCUCUUUGGCACUUUAGUCCAGCAGAGGGAGAGAGGGCAGAAGGGAAGAAAGAAAGUAGUGUGAGUUUUUAUUUCCAUCCUCUUCCUGCCACCUCCCCCCCAACACACACACACACACACACACACACACACACACACACGCGUGCGCGCGCGCGCACACACUUUGAUGAAAACAAAAUUUCUCCCCUUUUCUCUCUUCUACAACCCCCCUCCCCUUUUUUCCUGGCUCCUACCAUGAGCCUCCUGGAAUGCAAAUAAGUUGUAUUAUGCAAAUGUAUGCAAAUCAGGCUUAACGAGCGGAAGGAGGGGGCAGAAUGCCGAAUGAGUAAUGGCGGAGGGUGCAGAUGGAGGAUGGCAGGAAUGACCCCUCCUCUUCUCUGUUCCCACAGCCUGGAGGCUUGCUAGGGGUAGCAGGAUGUCCCUCACUUCUGGGAAAGAGUAGAAGGUCAAAGCCACGUUGCUUCAGCUGAGACGGUUGAGCUGAGGUUGGCCUUGGCUAUAGGUGAAGGACAGGAGGGCUUGUGGGGAGAGAGGGUUAAGUACAAGGGACUCGUCCUCACUUGCACAACCUCACUUGAGCAACCUUGCCCAGAGACUCUGGAUGCACCAGCCUCCCUGCUUGUAUGGCCUGCUGAUGGCAGAACCUUCAGCUCCGGGUGCUGAAAAGGAGCUCCUGAUGGCCCCAGGCCUGGCCUAGAGACUGACUCAGGUGUUGGGCUUGUCUCUUCUGUGCUGUGGAAGCUCAAACCACCGCAAGGCAAUGAGAUGGGCUGUCUCCCCAGCCCGUCCCUUGUGCAGAGAGAAGGAAUGGGUGCAAUGACCCUGAGGGCGUGCUGCUCCCCUUCACCCAGAAGGUCCCCAGGGAGGCAGUUGUGGAAGGGAAGUGGGCAAACCCCGCCUCUGGAUGAGACGGCACCAUAACCCCCACGAUCUCUGAGGUCUCAGUAGCAAAGGAAAGGAGAUGAAAAGCUCAAUCUGUCCUCAGAACAUUGGGUAUGAAGGAGAUGAUGAAAUAAAUAUCAGUAUCCCACCUCCCAAACCUUGGGAAGUGCAGACUUCAAGAAUGACUUCCAGAUAUAGAAGAACACAGAGGGGCCUCUGCUUCUCUGGUGGGUUACCAACCUCGAGAACUGAAUUGGGGGUCUGGAAGGCAAGAGGAGAGAAAACACUCCUUCUUAACGUCACUCAGUGAUGAAGAAAAGUCUGCAUGCUGAUAGGCUUGCUGAUUGUGACAAUUCUUAUGACUGUAAGGACCUUUCAACAAAACCCUUUCCAUUCCUAGAAUUGGGAAAAAUUUGUUGCAAGGUGAAGGUGUGAGCGAUAACGUAAAACUUGUGUCGAACAUUUAGGAGAAAAUUGCCUUUGAACUCCUGGACUUAGAAAUCAAUAGGAGGGCACUGGGAUGAAGGGCUGAGGGGAGAAAUGGAUAAAGAAACCAGCUUAGAAUUUGGUUUCCAGUAGGGAUUAGGUGGAUGUUGCAAGAUCUGAAGAAUAGAAGUAAAAGUUCCUGGACACAGACACAAGUGUGAUGAUACCACAGGAAAAAAUUUCCUAACUGGUAACUGGUGAGGCCCUUCAGAGCCCCUUUCAACCUAGC